GCUCGCUCAAGCGCACGUUUGUGCCUUGCGCCUUGGCUCCAAGACACCUCGACGCCUUUGAUAACUAAACUUCUUACUUUUCCAUGAUGCCAAAUUUCCGCCCACAAAAACACAAUACGCUAUAGUAGAUCUCCUAUCAACUUUAGAUCUUGCCCAGUCAGCAUCUGAAAAACAAUUAAUAUUAAAUUGUCCAUGAUUCCCAAACAACAAACCUCAUCCUGGAGGUUGUUCUAGAGCUUCCCAAUAAUUGAUUGUUGGAAAAGACAUAAAUUGACUUAUAACACUAACAGAGUAUGCAAUGUCGGGCCAGGUUAUUGUAAGAUAACUCAAUUUACCAACCAAUCUUCUAUAUCAUUCAAGUCUUCAAAUGAUUCACUAUCUUCCAUUGUAAGCUAUAUAUUGGGAGGGAGCCAUGGGAGUACUACAAGGCUUAACACUCAAUUUGUCUAUUUUUGCUAGCAUUAGAACAGAAAGACACCCUUCUUACACCUUGCUGCUUCAAUACUCAGGAAAUAUUUCAGCAACCCUAAAUCAUUUGCUUGAAAAUGAGUGCGAAGGAAAGAUUUCAAAGAUGAAAUUCCUGUAGUGUUGCUUCUGGUAAUAAAAAUAUCAUCAACAUACACAACCAAUAAAAUUAUGCCAACCUUGGACUAUCUAAACACGACUGAAUGAUCAUGUGCUUUUCUGCAUCCCUUAUGUUAAAAGCAUGCCUUAUAGCAAAAGGAUAUGCUCAGACAU
rnacentral:misc_RNA from 1 species